CGGAUAGUUGUUGAUGUCCUGAUCGACAUUGCCGAAGACGAUAUUUUUCAAUGUAGUCUGAUUCUCGAGAUACAGAUGUCUGGAAUUUUUAGGGCUCACUAACGCCACCUAGAUCAACUUUGCCGAAGGCGAAAUUCUUCUAUGUAGUCUGAUUCUCGAGAUACAGAAGUUCAGAAUUUUUAGAGCCCACUUGCGCCACCUAGCGGACAAACCUACAAUCAACUAGUUCACUACAGGAUAGCUGUUGAUGUCCUGAUCGAGAUUGCCGAAGACAGCCCAAGUAACAGAGCUAGCUGAACAACAGUUUCUUAAGCUAAAGUUAGUUUAAGAAUGGUUUGUUCCAGUCUUAUAGAGCAAAAAUGUUUGUUGGGAGAAUACUUCAAUGUAGUCGGAUUCUCGAGAUGAAGAGGUUUAUUUUUUUAGAGCCCGCUAGCGCCAUUUAACGGAUAAACCUAGAACCAACUAGUUCACUAUGGGAUAGCUCUUGAUGUCCUGAUCAACUUUGCUGAAUAUAUUUUUUUUUCUAUGUAGUCUGAUUCUCAAGAUACGAAGGCGACAGUAUUAGCAAUAGCUGUUGACGAAACACCUGUCAAAGCACAAUGUUUCGUGAUCACUAGUGCCACCUACUGGAGCGAAUACGUACUAAAUUACGUACUAUCGAAGAGUUCUUGAUCUUCUCAACAACUUUGCUGAAGACACCAGUCUUCCAAAAUGCUUCAUUUCUCCGUAGUUAUGUAAUUAUAAAUGUUACUGAUCUAUAAAUAGAUCACUGGGCGUUCGAGGCAUCUGAUCUUUAAAUAGAUCACUGGGUGGAAAUGGGUUAAUGUAAAUAUUUAGUGUCACAAUAGUUUUUAAAUCUUUUAGUAAACAAUGUAAUUCUAGGGAUAUAUCAUUAGUGCAUUUAGGAUAUGAUAUCAACCGAAAAACUCUUCAUUUGACAAUUUUUCAUUUUUCUUGCGCUGAUACAGCCCUGUCGUCCUCCUUAGUCACGGUUAGUCGACGACUAAGGGGCUUUAUUUUUAAGUCAAAAAAGAUUUUUCUCAAAAUAACCAUGUAAAAUGCUUAAUGUGAUUUUUACCACCAUACACGUGGUGCACAUCUUUCAAAAAAAAAAAUCACUUCACUUCACUUCACGACCACCCCCUCAGGAGGCAAAAUUUAAUAAAACGUUAUUUUUGACCAUUUUGGGUGUUCAGUGUUAACGCCCUGACCGUACCAGAUUGAGUGUAAAUGGGAUUUGGCAAUAGUCGGUACCCACGACCACCCCCUCAGGAAGCAAAAUUUAAAAAAACGUUAUUUUUGACCAUUUUGGGUGUUCAGUGUUGACGCCCUGACCAUACCAGAUUGAGUGUAAAUGGGAUUUGGCAAUAGUCGGUACCCACGACCACCCCCUCAGGAAGCAAAAUUUAAAAAAACGUUAUUUUUGACCAUUUUGGGUGUUCAGUGUUGACGCCCUGACCAUACCAGAUUGAGUGUAAAUGGGAUUUGGCAAUAGUCGGUACCCACGACCACCCCCUCAGGAGGCAAAAUUUAAUAAAACGUUAUUUUUGACCAUUUUGGUUGUACACUGUUGACGCCCUGACCGUACCAGAUUGAGUGUAAAUGGGAUUUGGCAAUAGUCGGUACCCACGACCACCCCCUCAGGAAGCAAAAUUUAAAAAAACGUUAUUUUUGACCAUUUUGGGUGUUCAGUGUUGACGCCCUGACCAUACCAGAUUGAGUGUAAAUGGGAUUUGGCAAUAGUCGGUACCCACGACCACCCCCUCAGGAAGCAAAAUUUAAAAAAACGUUAUUUUUGACCAUUUUGGGUGUUCAGUGUUGACGCCCUGACCAUACCAGAUUGAGUGUAAAUGGGAUUUGGCAAUAGUCGGUACCCACGACCACCCCCUCAGGAAGCAAAAUUUAAUAAAACGUUAUUUUUGACCAUUUUGGUUGUACACUGUUGACGCCCUGACCGUACCAGAUUGAGUGUAAAUGGGAUUUGGCAAUAGUCGGUACCCACGACCACCCCCUCAGGAAGCAAAAUUUAAAAAAACGUUAUUUUUGACCAUUUUGGGUGUUCAGUGUUGACGCCCUGACCAUACCAGAUUGAGUGUAAAUGGGAUUUGGCAGUAGUCGGUACCCACGACCACCCCCUCAGGAGGCAAAAUUUAAUAAAACGUUAUUUUUGACCAUUUUGGGUGUUCAGUGUUAACGCCCUGACCGUACCAGAUUGAGUGUAAAUGGGAUUUGGCAAUAGUCGGUACCCACGACCACCCACUGUGCUCUUCAGUCUGAUAUUGACAGAUUGACAUCGUGGUGUCGAAUGAAUGGAAUGCAGACAAAUCCUUAAAAAUGCAAAGUCAUCACCUACACCCGAAAGCAUGAACCGAUACGGUUUGAGUACUCGAUGGACUCUGCGAUGCUGCAGAGAGUUUACUCCAUCAAGGACCUUGGAAUAACUCUAGAUAGCAAACUGAAGUUUAAUAAGCACAUUUCCAAGACCAUUGCCAAGGCCAAUUCAAUGCUUGGAUUCUUGCGCCGUAAUACCGCUGAUUUCGAUGACAUCUACGCCCUAAAAGCAUUGUAUUGUUCGCUGGUUCGCAGCGGCCUUGAAUAUGGAGUUCAAAUCUGGGCCCCGUAUCGCGGUGUUCACGAACUACGAAUCGAAAAUGUUCAGAAACGGUUCGUCCGAUUUGCAUUACGCCGACUGCCCUGGAUUUAUGCCCGAAACCUACCACCGUAUGAACACAGGUGCGCUCUAAUUGGACUGCAGACUCUAACGGAACGACAAACUUUCCUGCGGAGAAUGUUUAUUUUUGACAUGCUGACCAACCGCAUCGACUGUAGCUGCUUGCUCCAAAGAAUCAGUUUCCGUGCACCCAACCGACAACUCCGCGUUGCUAGCCUUUUGUGGAUUCCCGGACAUAGAACUGAUUAUGGACGUAAUAAUCCUCUGGACAGGUCUUGUGAAUUAUUUAAUGCUGUUUAUGACGAAUUUGAUUUUAAUGUUAGUAGAAUAGAAUUUAAAAAUAGGAUUAAGUAUCGGUCUGUGUAGUUUUUCUAACUAAAGACGGCUAAUAAAUAAAUAAAUAAAUAUAUUUACAUAAAAUGCCAAAUUCCGGAAAAAAUCCAUAAUUUGUUGUAAAGAGAAAUCAUGCAUGAAAUUCCAUGGGUUCUUCUACGAUUUGAAUAUUGUCGCAUAGUCUGAAUCUUUACCUAGAAAUUAUUUGAAAUGAAAAAAUCAAUCAUUUUUUUCAAAGUUUGAUAGUUUUUUUUGUUUAGACGAGUUGACAUUCUAUCGAUGAACUGUUGUACAAAAAGAUGUACUUUAUUUCCCUUUCCCCCCAUGGUACUGUCAUCAAAUUGAUAACUGCUACAUCACUUCCUUUCUUCACUUAUAUUGUCCAUUGUUCUUAUAAAACUAAAACACUUAAAACUAAAACUUAACACUUGAGCACAGCUCUCACUUUCACUCUCUGACUUCCCCAUCUAGACUUCGCUAUAGACUUUCAUCUAUAAACUAACUCCUAUCAACUGACUUCUAUAAACUCAACUAUUAGCUGACUACAUACUGACUGCCCCCCUCUGAACAUAGUAAUGUCUUUUAUAAGUUGGCUUUCAAGUAAUAUUUAUGACUGUACACGUCUGUUUUGGCUACCUAGUUCAUACCUUUGGGUGUUAACGGACAUUCGUUGAACCCCACGUGACUCGCUAUUUACUAUUUACGUUAACGGUGGUUCGUAGAUUCCAACGUGCUCGCUCGGAGCGUUCUGACCUCUAGGUCUUUGUUUAUCUUAACGGUGAACCGUUGAUUCACAUGUGCGUACUCGGGCGACACAUUAUAUUUACUGUUUUUACAUUUAAACGCAAACUUUAUCGCUACUAGGGUAAAAGUGCCAAUGUUCCACAUAAGUGACAAUUACAUUAUAUUUACUGAGGAAUCCUAAUUAGUAUGGAAUAGUAAGGGUGAUAACGACUUAGGGUCGUUACACUGUCAUUCUAUCCACGACAAUUAAAACUGUUUCAUUCAUUUGACUAUCGAAACAAUGUGCGAAUGAAAUGAUUUAUGCUCAUAAAAAUAAAUAUUUGUUCUUUCGAUUAAGCUGUAGGCAAUAGCAAUAUUUUUUAUCUUUCAAUAACCCAAUUAUCAAAGAACUUGUAAAUUAUUUUUUACAAGUUUACGAACGAACUCCCAAAAGAACUUACAAAUAAUUUGCCGCAGGUAAUUUAAAUUGAAUUCCCAACCAAUGAAAUUGCCAAAGAAAUUUUCAAAAGAUUUAAUCUCAAAAAGUAAAUUAAAACGAAUGUACAAAUAAAUUGCUUGGGUAAAUUUCUAAUGAAUUUUAGAAAAAUGAAAAACGAACAAUAACUCUUACAAGUUUUUAUAGAAAUUCCAUAUUUAUUUGCCGAAGCAUAUCGCUAACAAAUUUCCAAAUAGAUUGCAAUAGAAAAUUUCAAAGGUAGUUUUCUUUUAAAUUGUCGCAGAAAUUAUCGAAAGAAUUUUCGUUUAAAUAUCCUUGCACGCAAUGAAAUUGACAAUGGAAUGAUCAAAUGGAUUGCCAACAGAAACAUUUUAGAAAUUUUUGUGAAAAAUUCAUAAGGCAUAUCCGAAUAAAUUGGAUAAGCAAAUUUCUACCGAAUUUCCAACGAAUUUCGGAUAAAAUAUCAAAGAAACUGUCAAAGUCAAAUUUCCAACGAAAUUUCCAA